rnacentral:lncRNA from 1 species
AAUCUCUCACGAUGAAAAAAAAUAUCAUGUUGCCUCACGGCGAGGCGCUUCCCUCCUUCCUCAAGCCUUCUCCCGUCCAUGGCGACUUCUUUUGAUCUAGCGAGCAUCACAUGUUAUUCUCUCCUUAUGUGCGUCCUUAAUAUUGCUGUCUCUUUCUCCCCAACAACCACCAGGCCAGAUACACCUAGGUAUGCCCUCAUGUACGUACGAUUCCAACACUGGCAUGAAGAUAAUGAGGCAGGCAUCGAUGAUCCCAAGCUACGUUUUUG